rnacentral:tRNA from 1 species
UUUUAGUACGAAAGGACCAAAGUUAUGAAAUAGUUUUUUUCUGUUGAAUACCAUUAACUACUUUGGCAGAAAAGUGCAAUGAAUUUAGAAUUCAUAAAUGUAAGUAAAUCUUACAGGUAGUAC